GAGAUUUGAGUCCUUAGCCUUGUAGGAUUUUAAAAGAAAAAAAUAUAAGAUUUUGAGGGGAACAAGGAAACGCAACCUUGUUGCGGCUAAAACAGAAGCUGUAACAGUGGCAAAAAAUGCAGAGGAGGAACAACAGAGAAGACGAAAAAAGAGUAGUUGUUGGAACAACUUUGACAAGCAAAAGUGCAAAAGAUAAGAUUUUGAUAUUAAUAUUUACAAUCAAAAAAGAAGGAGAAUUGAACCUAUAUUGCAGCUCCAAGCGAAACAAUUCUUCGGCACAAAAAGAUUCAUUGGAGGAAGUUGUACGUUUGCUCGAGGUGAAGUAUUUGGUAAUUCGGCACGAGACUGUGAGUAGUAAUCUUACUGCAAUUUGUAUUUUCAUAACCUUCAUGGUUUAUACAUGAUUUUGAAAAAUAAAUGUGUUAGUGAAUGUUUGAAAUUGCAUGUGGGACAAGUCCUUUACUUGAUAUAGUACUGGAUAGUUUACUUGAGAGGUUUACAGUUAUUUAAAAUGUUCUCAUGUUACUA